rnacentral:tRNA from 2 species
GCCCCUAUCGUCUAGUGGUCUAGGACGGCGCCCUUUCACGGCGCUAACACCGGUUCGAAUCCGGUUGGGGGUA